rnacentral:lncRNA from 1 species
UCACAUGAUAAUCAAAUUUGAAUUAGUCACGUAAUAAGAUAUAACAGAAACGAUCACCUACCCACCGUGGGCAUGCAUAACGUGCCCACUAUGAUGUGACAAUUGUAAUUAUAGUAAGAUAAUUUUAAUUAGAGUAAGAUUUAUUAAUUCUCUUUCUUAAUUAAAAUUGCCACAUCAGUGGUGGGCAUGUUAUGCUUGCCCACGGUGGGUAGGUGAUCGGUUCUGUAAGAUAUAAAUAGGUCUUCCUGUUCACAAGCCAAAAUAACAUAUCAAUUCAAAGGAAUUCCAAGUAUAAUAUUAAGAUAAUCAAGAUCAAGCUCACAUUUAGUGUGAUAGUUUCGAACUAAAUAUGACCUUCAUCCAAUUAUUUAUACUGCCACCAACAAAGCUCUAGUCAUCCAUGAGAAAAACAUAAACUGCUCUCAAAGAACUCGGUAGAUAAGCAUAUAUCAGUCCCUACAACUCGAUUUAUCAACUACUACAUAAAUUCUCACAUUAUUAAUCAGAUUUACAACCUAAACAAAGAAGGUACUUCUAUCCUUGAUUGCAGGAGAAGGUCUCUAUAACUAUUGUUUUCGGGAAUAAAAAUAAGAAUUUGAUAGACAUCAUACACUAAAAAUGAAUGAUUCAAUACUUUGGGCCAACAUCAACUAAAAUCCUCUUAGAUAAAUGCUUCACUUAUCAUAGAUAAAUACUUUGGACCAGCAUCAACUAAAAUCCCAUGUUCUUGCACAUCUCAUUCCAUAGUACACACUAUAACCUAAUUUCAAACACUCAAACAGCCUGGCGAAACUUAUAAGCACAAAAAAUCAGAACUCAUAAGCACACUCACACUCAAACAACCUGACGAAACAGAUUUAAACAUGAUUCAUAGCAUGCAUCAAUCGCCAAAAACAGAACUCAUAAGCACAUAAAAAAAAAGUUCAAUGCAAAAGAAACACAACAAUAGAAGAAGAAGGUUACCUUGCAUUGCAGCGUUAAUAAUUUUUACUAAGG